GAUGAACGCUGGCGGCGUGCCUAAUACAUGCCAGUCGAGCGAACGGACGAGAAGCUUGCUUCUCUGAUGUUAGCGGCGGACGGGUGAGUAACACGUGGAUAACCUACCUAUAAGACUGGGAUAACUUCGGGAAACCGGAGCUAAUACCGGAUAAUAUUUUGAACCGCAUGGUUCAAAAGUGAAAGACGGUCUUGCUGUCACUUAUAGAUGGAUCCGUGCUGCAUUAGCUAGUUGGUAAGGUAACGGCUUACCAAGGCAACGAUGCAUAGCCGACCUGAGAGGGUGAUCGGCCACACUGGAACUGAGACACGGUCCAGACUCCUACGGGAGGCAGCAGUAGGGAAUCUUCCGCAAUGGGCGAAAGCCUGACGGAGCAACGCCGCGUGAGUGAUGAAGGUCUUCGGAUCGUAAAACUCUGUUAUUAGGGAAGAACAUAUGUGUAAGUAACUGUGCACAUCUUGACGGUACCUAAUCAGAAAGCCACGGCUAACUACGUG
rnacentral:rRNA from 1 species